rnacentral:piRNA from 1 species
UGGAACUCACUCCGUAGACCAGGCUGGCCUC